CCUACGGGAGGCAGCAGUGAGGAAUAUUGGUCAAUGGACGAGAGUCUGAACCAGCCAAGUAGCGUGAAGGAUGACUGCCCUAUGGGUUGUAAACUUCUUUUAUAAAGGAAUAAAACGAGGCACGUGUGCCUUUUUGCAUGUACUUUAUGAAUAAGGAUCGGCUAACUCCGUGCCAGCAGCCGCGGUAAUACGGAGGAUCCGAGCGUUAUCCGGAUUUAUUGGGUUUAAAGGGAGCGUAGAUGGGUUGUUAAGUCAGUUGUGAAAGUUUGCGGCUCAACCGUAAAAUUGCAAUUGAUACUGGCAGUCGUGAGUACAGUUGAGGUAGGCGGAAUUCGUGGUGUAGCGGUGAAAUGCUUAGAUAUCACGAAGAACCCUGAUUGCGAAGGCAGCUUACUAAACUGUGACUGACAUUGAUGCUCGAAAGUGUGGGUAUCAAACAGGAUUAGAUACCCUGGUAGUC
rnacentral:rRNA from 1 species